GUGAGACAGAGAUCCACUUCAUCCUUCCAACAGGCAAGCAAGUCCAGUGGAAUUGUACCCUUCCAGUGUCCUAUUGCAAAGCAGACCUUGAUGAAUCUUCGGAUGCUGCAGACUAUCUUCCAGUCUCAUGUGGCAAUUCCUCGGAUGCUUCUAUUAUAAGUACUACAAGUUCUUGUAGUAAGGAAUAUAAAACCACAGAAAAGAAUCUCCACCACAAAUUGUCAGAGAACACACCAUUAGGGAAUGUUACAGCACACAGUGGGGAUAGUACCACCAGUUCAGAGAAGCCAAGAACAUUAAGUUAUUCAAAGAUGCGCAGCAAUCCUUGUACUUCAGUAAUAAGCUGCAGUGCCAAUUCAUCAGAGAACACAUCACACCAGAAAAGCUCCAUAAAUGUCACACCUUUGUCAAUAACAGCAAAAGGAAGCAAGUACAACAAGAAGCAAUUUUGUCUUUAUUGUAAAAAGGCCAAUUAUAAAUUGGCAAGACACCUCGAAUCCAUCCACAGUGAAAAGCCUGAUGUUGCAAUGGCUUUCAGUUUUAAUAAAGGAUCCCGCAAAAGAAGAGAGUUGUUACGCUCUCUUAAGAAGAGAUGAAACUUUGACCAUAAUACUGAAGUGGCAAGCUGUGGCACUGGAGAGAUGGUUGCCUGUAAAAGACCUAGUAAUGCAAAACCAUCUGAUGACUACCGUCACUGCAAAUUUUGCGAAGGACUGUAGUCAAGAAAUUCCCUAUGGAGACAUGUGAGAAACUGCCCGAAAAAGUCUGUUGAGGGAGAGCCUCAAGUUGGGCGAAAACGGAUUCAACUGCACUUACCAAGACCUGACUCAGUUAAGGAAACUGUUUGGAAGAUUGCUUGUGAAAUGAACCAGGAUGACGUUUCCUCGGUUGUAAGGAGUGAAACUGAAUUCCUUUGUAUCGGCGAGUCACUGUUGAAUUCCAGGAAACCAUAUGAGAGAAGGAAUGACUACAUACGGCAAAAAAAUUAGAGAGAUGGCAAGACUAUUGAUAACGGCAAGGGCUAUAACACCUUUGAAGAGCACCGAAGUCCUUGUUAUGCCCUGUAACUUUCCCCAUGUGAUACAGGCAGUAAGAUAUGUUGCUGGUUAUGAUG